AUGAUAGUUUGAGACUGUGAAUAUCCUAUAUUCCUAUACCUUUCUCUCAGUGGUUGUCUUAGUCAUCUAGUGCUGCUGUAACAGAAAUGCCACAAGUGAUUGGCUUUAACAAACAGAAGUUUAUUCUCUCAUGGUCUGGUAGUCUAGAAGUCCAAAUUCAGGGUGUCAACUCCAGGGCAAUGCUUUCUCUGUGGCUCUGGAGGAAGGUUCUUGUCAUCGAUCUUCCCCGGACUAGGAGCUUCUUCGCACAGGAACCCCAGGUCCAAAGGACGUGCUGUGCUCCUGGCGCUGCUUUCUUGGUGGUACGAGGUCCCCCACCUCUGCUCGCUUCUCUAUUAUAUCUCAAAAGUGUUUGGCUCAAGACACAAUCCAGUCUUGUAGAUUGAGUCCUGCUUCUUUAACAUCGUAGAGGUAGAAUUUACAACACAUAGGAAAAUCAUAUUAGAUGACAAAAUGGUAGACAGUCACGCAAUACUGGCAGUCAUGCCCUAGCCAAAUUGAUACACGUCUUUUGGGGGGACACAAUUCAAUCUAUGAGAAUGGUUUUAGUAUCCACUGAUGAUUCUCUCUUGAAUCAAAUAUUAAUAUAAAAUUUAAAAAAUGUGUUGCUGUUGAGUUGAUUCCGACUCAUAGCAACUCUGUAGGACAGAGUAGAACUGCCACAUAGGGUUUCUAGGGAGUGACUGGUGGAUUUGAACUGCUAACCUUUUGGUUAACAGCCAAGCUUUUAACCACUGUGCCACCAGUUGUAAAAUGGUGAUUUUCUAUUUGUCAUUCCUUCUACAUUUAUUAGUUGGCACUCUUCUUGAAAAAAGGGCUUUCCUUUGUCUUCCUAAUUCCUUUAAAAAUUUCCUUUUAAUGUAAGUGUGGAGUCAUGGAUUCUGUUUUAUACAGCGUGUAAUAAUUCAUUCCUGUCAUUACCUAUUUUGAUGCUCAAAUUGUCCCAAAUUUGCCCAGUGGCAGCCUUAAGCUGGUUCUUAAAUCUUCUUGACGUGUCUUCCUCAGUUUUUCAGCACUUCCGUCAGUUCUGGCACAAAAUGCUCCAGAAUCACCUUGAAAUUAAUCAUUUUUCCAAAGGGCCUGAAGAAUGGUGUUUAGAAAGCAAGGUCUGGGUGCUAUGUGUGCUCAUUGCUCUGGGGUGAAACUGCUGUUAGGCUCUUUCAAUAGAAAUAACUAGGAAACUUUUUUUUUUAAUCAUGAGUUCAUACUGAUACCUCUAAUUGACACCCUGUCCAAUAGUAUAGGGCUCUUUUUCUCCUUCCUCCAAUCCAUAUUUGUGUCUUCCUUCUCCCCCAGUGAUACUUCUAGUUCCUCAACAUAUCAAUAUGUUUACUCACGUGCUGAGUCCUGCAAUAUACAAAAUAGUUUCAGGAUUGCUGCACUUGAUAAUACUAGGAAGCAAAUCAACAAGUAAAGCCUGAGAUUUUUUUUUGCCCUUAGAAUAUAUCCCAUUAAAAGUGUUCAGGCAGAGCACUCUCUUACUGUUUGAAAGUUUUUUUUUAAUUCUUUUUUUCUUUGUAAUGAUGUUAACAAUUUGAUUGUAAUCAAGUUCAUUCGUUUUUUUCACUUUCAAGUUCUCCUACUUUUGUUGAUUUAUUUUUUGAACAUGUGAAAUACUAACCAGGUUCAAAAUUCAAAACUAUAUAGAAAGUUAUAUUCAGAUAAAUCCCAUCCCCUUUCCAUCCCUCCUUCUCCACACCUCCCAUAAGUAUCCAGAUUCAUUCAUUUCUGGUUUAUCUUUCCUGUGUUUCUUUGUGUCUCUCUCUGUAUAUAGAUAUACAUAUUUAGACAUAUGCAUAUAUAUAUAUACAUAUGUAUAUAUAUAUGUUUCAGUUUCACACACAAAAUGUAGCAUUCUGCAUAUAGUCUUUAGCACCUUGGUAUUUUGUUUUUGUUUUUUACUGAAUAUAUUCAGUAAUAUAUUACGGAAACUAGUUCAUGUCAGUUUAUAAAAAUAUUUUUCAUUUUUUAAUUUUUCAUUUGUCUAGUACUCCAUGGAGUAAAUAUGCGAUAGUUUAUUAAACAGAACUCCUAGGUAUGGGCGUUUGGGUUAUUUCCAGUAUUUUGCUAUUACAAGUAAUGCUACAAUGAUUGGCCUUGUGUAUAUGCUUCUAUUGUUGGAGGUGUUUUUCAGAUAAGUUCCUAGAAAUGUGAUUUCUGGGCUAAAGGGUAAAUACACGUGUAGUUUUGCUAGAUAUUUCCCGGUUUCGCUCCAUAGGAGUUGUGCCAUUUUAUAUCCACAAGUAGUGAAUGCGAGUCUGUUUCCCCACGACCUCAGUGUUUUGUCAAGCAUUGAUAUCUGCGCCAAAUGCAUAGAGGAGAAAUAACAUCUCUUACAGUUUUAGUUUUGGUGAAGCACUGGUGGCACAGUGGUUAAGUACUUGUCUACUAACCAAAAGUUCGGGAAUUCCAACCCACCACCUGCUCCUUAGAACCCUAUGGGCCAGUUCUACUCUGUCCUGUAGGGUCACUAUGCGUUGGGAUUGACUCGAUGGCAAUGGGUUUUCUUGUAUAGUUUUAAAAUGCACUUCUCCUUUUAUGAAUGGAGCAUCAUUUCGUAUGUCCUUUUCCUUUUAAAACUAGAAAUAAAACUUUGGCGAUAAUGCUUGUAUUAAGUCUUCAUCUGUGCUGCAAUAAAAUGAAACAAAACUCUUUUCUGUAGACUGUCUUGUUUCCAUGCAUGCAAGUAGUUUUCUAGUGCUCUGUUGGUGCAGUGGUUAAGAGCUUGGCUGUUAACCAAAACGUUACCAGUUUGAAUCUACCAGCUGAUCCUUGGAGAACCCUUUAGGGCAGUUCUCCUCUGUCCUAUAGGAUCUCUAUGAGUUGGAAUGGACUCAAUGGCAACAGUUUUUUUUAAAGAAGGCAGUAACUUCAGAGAUAAAGUGUUAUUUUGUAACCAUAUUGCCAAACAAUUUGUUAGGUGAAGUUAAAAUAAAAGUCAUUACCUGAAAUAAAUUGUGUCUUGUGUUACUUGAAGAAAAGUUACUAAUGGUCUCUCUAUUUGAUACAUCGCUCUGUUACAAAAGACUCUUACUUUAAUCCCAAAAAGUAUGUGGGUCAAGGGUUAUUACCUCAUUUUAUAGAAGAGGUGACAGGCUGAGAGAAGUUUGGAGACUUGCCUAUAGUUAUGUGACCAAGAAUUGAUAGAACUCAGUCUUCUUUUUUUAAUUCCAUGAAAUUUAUUUUUCUUGUCUUCACUUUUUUUUUUCACUUUAGUAAAAUUACUCAUUAUGUUGUUAUAAUCAAGAUUUUUAUAUAAUUUAUAUUCUAAUGAUAAAACAAAACCAAACCUGUUGCCUUUGAGUCGAUUCCGACUCAGCAGAAACCCUGGUGAUGUAGUGGUUGUUAAGAGCCACGGCUGCUAACCAAAAGUUUGAAUCCACCAGUUGCUCCUUGGAAACCCUAUGGGGCAGCUGUAGUCUGUUCUUUAGGGUCGCUAUGAGUAUAAUGAUUCUAAUGAUAGCCAUGCCAGAUUAGAUAAACCUUCGUAAUUCAUUGUAAUCCUUCUUUUUAAAUGAAUUUUAGGAUGGAGAAAACUUUACAUUAAGUCAAUAAUAGCAGCUGAAAUUGUCAAUGAAGUUAUUGUGUCUUACAUUAAAAAAUAAAUGGAUCUACAUACAAAAUUCAAGUAGUGUGAUGGGUCUUAUGAUAAACUAUUGUUAAAGAAAAUACUACAAAAUCUUUUAAUUCCAUCAUAUAAGUUGUUAUCACUUAUAUCACAGUUUUCACCUUGUGAAAAACCAGUAUCCAGAUCUGUAAAAUAUUAAGUUCUUUCAAAUUUUUCAGGGCUGUGCUAUUACAAGGAGAAGAAAACAACAGCAAAAUGGCAAUAUGUUUCAUGGUUUAUUCAAUUCUUAUUUUAAUUGAGACUAUACCUUAAUCUAUAAAAACCCAAAUAUAGUCUCAGUAAAAAUCAGUGUGGGGAUUAACCAAAAAAAACCUGUUGCCAUUGAGUCGAUUCUUUCUCAUAGCAAUUCUACAGGACAGAGUAGAACUGUCCCAUAUGGUUUCCAAAGAGCGACUGGUGGAUUCAAACUGCUGACCGUUUGAUUAACAGCCAUCGUAGCUCUUAACCGCUGAGCCACUAGGGCUCCAGUUUAGGGAUUACGUGUAUGUAAAUAUUCUCCUUUAUAGUGAUAUGAACAUUUUUGUUUUCUAAUUUUACUGUAUUUAUAGGAAUGUCACAUCUGUUACAUACUUCACAUGCAAAACCAAAACCAAACCCACUGCCUUCGAGUUGAUUCUGACUCAUAGCGACCCUAUAGGUCAGAGUAGAAUUGGCCCAUAGAGUUUCCAAGGAGAGCCUGGUGGAUUUGAACUGCCUAAUUUUUGGGUAGCAGUUGUAGCACUUAACGACUGUGCCACCAUGGUUUCCACUUCAUGUGCAGUAUAUUUAAAUUUAGCAAGUCUUUGACUCUAUCCAGUAUUCUUUAACUAAAGAUUAACUGCUAUAUUCUGAGUUUACAACCCAGGCAUUUUUGUUUUAGUAGUGGUUCAGAAUUUGGGAUUUUUCUUGUGUGUUGAUAGAAAAUUCCUUUUAAAAUUCCUGAUUAUUUAAGUAGAAUUAUUAAGUUAGCAUGUUAUGGUAAUAUAUUACAGCAAUCAGUUUAUGUCAAUUCAUAGAAAUAUUUUCACUUUUUAGUUUUUCAGCUGCAUAGUAGUCCAUGGAGCAAGUGUACCAUGGAGUAGAAUGUACCAUAGUUUAUUCAGCCAAACUCCUAUGUAUGCGUCUUUGGGUUAUUUCUAAUAUUUUGCUAUUAUAAAUAAUGCUGCAGUGAAUGGCCUUGUGGGUAUGUUAAUGAAACUCUCUUUUUGUUGUGAUUUUGAGCAUACUCAGUUUCUCAGACUAAGCCAAACUUACGGUCUGUGAAGAAGGGAGGUAAGUUGGGACAAACUACUCGUCUGCCAUUUUUCCAGACUUUGUCGGGUGUUCCUCUCAAUUUCCCUUUGGUGACCCCCCGUUAUUCCCAAAGACUAAACUCCUUAACAUGCUGUGCAGUCCCGGAAAAGCCAGGUCCUUCCCCACCCUCCAGCUUUAUGUUGCCCAUUCUUCCGUGGGCUCUUUGCCCUCACCACAUUUUGCCUUCUCUCAAUCCUCAAACUUGUUUCCUCGAGGCUUUUACACAUGUUCUUCUUCCUGGAGCACUUUUCCUCCCUUUCCUCACCUACUUAUCAUCUUAUCAUUCAGCACUUAGAUGAUACAUGGCUUCUUCAGGGAAGCUUCUGUGAUCUCCCCACCUGGGCCAGUCUCCCUGUUUUAUUCUCUCACAGUACCAUGUACCUCAGUUUUACAGAUGUUUGUGCAAUUACUUAAUGUCUGUCUCUCUUAGAUAAGUGUAAGCUUCAGGAGAGCAAGAACUCUGUCUCGGCUCACCGUUGUGUUCCUCAGCUGUGAUGGUUAAUUCUGUGUGUCGACUUGGGUAGGCUGCGAUGCCCAGUUGUUUGGUCACACAUCGGUCUAGAUGUUGCUGUGACAGAAUUUUGUAGAUGUGAUUAACAGUUGCAAUCAGUUAACCUUAAGUAAAGCAGAUUAUCCUCCAUAAUGGGCCUCAUCCCAUCAGUUGAAAGUCUUAGGAGCAAAAACCAAAGUUUCCCAAGGGAGAAGGAUUCUGUUUCAAAACUAAAUAGACAUCCUGCCAGAAUUUCCAGCCAGCCACCUGGCCUACCAAUUUCUGAGUCAAGACUGCUGGAGUUUCCAGCCUGUUGCUUAACCUACAAAUUUUGGGCUUUCCAGCCCCCACAGUCAGGUGAGCCAGUUCAUUAAGAUAAGGAUAUCUUAUUGGUUUUGUUUCUUUGGAGAACCCUGACCAAGACAGCAGCCUAGUACAGUGCCUGGCACAUAGUAGGAGUUCAGCAGUUAUUGAUUGGAUUAAUGAAUGCAUGGUGGCACCCAUGCAUUUGCAUGGCAAUUCCCUUGGGUUGGUAUGUCAUUGUCACAUCCUCUCAUCUUCUCUAGAUCCUUUUUCACUUUUCCAUAUCUGCUUAUAACAUUUUGAGCCUUUGGUAGAUAUAUGCAUAUUUAAUCAUGUAUUAUUUUAUAUAACCUAAUUAUCAACUGGGGGUCCCUGAGUGGUGUCCACAGUUAAUGUGUUUAGCUGCUAACCAAAAGAUUAGAGGUUCUAGUCCACCCAGAGGUACCUCAGAAGAAAAGCCUGGUGAUCUCUUUCCAAAAAAAUCAGCCAUUGACAACCCUACGGAGCACAGCUCUACUCUGACACACAUGGGGCCGCCAUGAGUGGGAGCCAACGCGAAGGCAAGCGGUAGUUAUCAACUGAGACCACGUUGCCCAUCUGUCUCCUAUUUCCACAUGUAUGUUCUGUGUUUCUUACACAUACUCAUAACCCACUCAUAAACCUCCAUGGAUUUAGUGGCUUUAGUGACAGUUUGAGAGGUAGGUAAUCCCUUCCAUCAGUACGUGGCCUCCCGCCAUUUCUUUGGCUUUCCUUUUCUUUUUUCCCAAACUUUCUCUUCCGUCGUCUGUUCCUCCUCUCCUUCAGGAGUGUCACACAUAUCUGGCCCCGUGCAGGGUGGUUUGGGGAAAUCACAGUGCCAGCCAAUAUCCAUGCCCCUACGGGGACUCCCCUUCUCCAAAUGGGUUGACCCAGCCGUUUUCUCAGCAAAGAUGGAUCUCGUACAAGAAAAAUUCUAGUACCAGCUGCUUAGAGUACAUUUUCUUUAUGUUACAUUAGAGUGAUUGUAUUUCUGGUCACAUUUGGAGACUGUCCAGUGCUCUAGCCCAUGCCAUUUGAGGAGAGGUUGAUGGAGGGAGGGAUCAAAGUGAGAAUAAUUUUCUCAAGCUUACUAAGACACAUACAGUUAGCUUUCCAGCCACCCCAGUCUCUCCCCGUUUCUACUCUCAGACAACAUAGUAGAAAAUACCACAUUCUCAAGAGUUCCUUUGAAGACCCCUGGGCAAAACAGAUUCAGGACCAAACUAAACCCAAACUCAGUGCUGUCGAGUCUAUUAUGACUCAGCGACCCUACAGGACAGAGUAGAACUGCCCUAUAGAGUUUCCAAGGAGCGCCUGGUGGAUUCGAACUGCCAUCCCUUUAGUUAGCAGCUGUAGCACUUAACCACUAUGCCACUAGAGUUUCCAGAUUCAGGACAGGCUGACUUAAUUCUGGAGUUACCAAAUGGGACCUGGGAGCAGCUCACAAACACUUGAGCACAUCUUCCUAAGUUUCUAAAGCAAGUAUUUCUGCCAUCCUCAGUUUAUCUUUCAGGUUUUGAUGCAUUUCUCCACCCAGAGCUACCUCGUGCAAGGAUUUCACGUGAUGCUGUUUUUGCUUUUGUUUGAUUCUAUACUAGAUUCUAUACUUUGUUUAGAGAAACUGACAAUCAUAAGUGGCCAUCUAGUCCAUCCCAACAUAUGUCGAGUAUUUUCUGUGUGCUGGGAACUCUACUGUGGCAGUGACUCACUGUAUCCUUUAAAACAGGUAGCACCAUGGUCCCCAUCAUAUAUGCAGAGACUGGAACCUAGGAUGAGAAGCUCUUCCUAAGACAACUGCUAUGAGCCAGAAUUUGAACCUUCAUCUCCUACCAAGUCCUAAAACGUGGGAUCCAUAGGAGACUCCCUCUGACAGCCCCCCGAAAGCCUGGAAAACGGGCUUUGGAUCCAGCUGAGCCAAUGGGCUCUCCUUUUUCUGUGGACCUUUGGAAGCUGCCUGGGAUCAAGCAGCAUUUCAUGUGAAAAUUGGAAGCCCUGAGGAAGUCAGCCCUUCAGUGGUUUUCAGAUGUUUUAGUAAGAAAUUUAGGAGUGAUGUUGUCAGGAUUCUCAGAAUAACAAUAAAUAUAACAAUAAUAAUAAGUAAUAACAAUAAGUAUAUGGGUGAGGGAAUCAAGCAAAUGUAUCAAAAUGUUAACUAUUGAUGAACCUGGGUAGAAGGUAUGUGGUGUUCGUUGUACUAUUCUUGUAACUUUUCUGUAGCUUUACCUUUUUUUUUUUUUUUUUUGCAUUUGCCUUUUCUUGUCUUUUUGUAAAAGUAAGGUCAUACAACAUUUGUCCUUUUGUGAUUGGCUUAUUUCACUCAGCAUAAUGUCUCCAAGCUCUAUCCAUACCACAGCAUGUAUCAAGACUUCAUUUCUCCUACUGGCCGAGUAGUAUUCUAUUGUAUGUAUGUACCACAUUUUGUUUAUCCGUUUAUCUGCUGAUGGGCAUUUAGGUAGUUUCCACCUUUUGGCUACUGUGAAUAGUGCUGCAAUGAACAUUGGUGAAUAAGUGUUUGAGUCUCUGCUUUCAAGUCUUGGGCAUAUACCUAGGAGUGGAAUUGCUGGGUCAUAUAGUUCCAUUUUUAGUUUUUUGAGGAACCACCACACUGUUUUCCACAAUAGCUGUACCAUUUUGCAUUCCCACCAGCAAUGGAUAAGAGUUCCAUUUUUCCCACAUCCUCAACAACAAUUGUUUGUGUUUUUUUUUUUUUAAUCUUAGCCAUCUUAGUGAGAGUGAAAUGGUAUCUCAUUGUGGUUUUGAUUUACAUUUCUCUGAUGGCUAGUGUCUCAGGCUGGGUUCUCUAGAGACGCAAAACCAGUAAAGUAUAUAAAUAUAUGUAGAGAUUUAUAUCAAGGAAAUGGCGAUUGUAGAGACUGGAAUAUCCCAAGUCUGUGGAUCAGGAUAGAGACUUCUCCUGAUUCAUGUAGCUGCAGGGGCUGGCAAAUCCAAGAUCAGCAGGUUGGAGAGCAGGGCUCUUGCUCACAGGUUGUCAAGAUCGACAAAUCCUAAAUCAGCAGGCAAGACCGCAAGGCUUCUCCUGAUUCACGUAGCUGCAGGGGCUGCUGAACCCAAGAUUGGCAGGUCAGAGAGCAGGGCUCUUGCUCACAGGCUGUGAAGAUUGACACAUCUCAGGAUUGGCAGGUAAGCUGCCAGCUGAAGUCCCAAGAACCAGAGGUCGGAUGAACAGGAGCCAGCUCUAGGAUCCAGAGGAGGCAAAAGCCAAAAUGUCCACUUAUAUUCGGAUGCAGGCCACAUGCUUAAGGAAACUCCCUUUCAACUGAUUGGCUACUCACAGCAGAUCCCAUCAUGGGGGUGAUCACGUAUAAACACCGAGAAUCAUGGCCCAGCCAAGUUGACAGACAAUCUUAACCAUCACAACUAGUGACUCUGAGAAUCUUUUCAUGUGUUUGAUGGACAUUUGAAUGCCCUCCUUGGUGAAAUGUCUAUUCAAGCCUUUUGCCCAUUUUAUGAUUGGGUUUUUUGUCUUUUUUUGUUAAGUUGUUGAAAUUUUAUAUAUAUUUUGGUUAUUAAAUUCUUGUCAGAAAAAAUUUCUUGUUGG